rnacentral:rRNA from 1 species
UACGUAGGGUGCGAGCGUUGUCCGGAAUUAUUGGGCGUAAAGAGCUCGUAGGCGGCCUGUCGCGUCGGAUGUGAAAGCCCGGGGCUUAACCCCGGGUCUGCAUUCGAUACGGGCAGGCUAGAGUUCGGUAGGGGAGACUGGAAUUCCUGGUGUAGCGGUGAAAUGCGCAGAUAUCAGGAGGAACACCGGUGGCGAAGGCGGGUCUCUGGGCCGAUAUUGACGCUGAGGAGCGAAAGCGUGGGGAGCAAACAGG